rnacentral:lncRNA from 1 species
UUUUUUCCUCACACCAAAUAUAACACAAACCCUAAUCCUAAAAGAAACUAACCCAGCCGCAUCUCCUCAACCCCCCACCUUGGUCCGCCGCUACAACAUGCCCAAACUCACCGGAAUCAGGCGAGUUAACUCGCAAACUCGUGCACAUGGUCCCUCCUCAUCUCCUUUCUCCACGUCACUCUAAUCCUAAGGGAUUUCUGACAAAACGAAAUUAUUCUUUCCGAAUUUUACGCACUCCCUCUUAUUUUUCUGUCAGAGUUAUGCUCUUUUGGCGAAAAUAGGAAAACUGUGGGGCGUAGGAUUGAGUCACACUCGAUCUACUCCUUACAUCUGUCUUAUCUCGCCAAACCGAGAUUGUUUUUUGGAUUUUUGGGGGUGAUUUUCGGAUUCCUUGGCAUCCAAGGAGAGAAGGUUCGAGUGAAUCUGUAAAUAGGAAGGAUUUUCAGUCAUAGAGGAGGGGAUUUCUUUUUAGGGCAGAAAUUUUGAGGAAAAUUAGGGAGUGCUCUUCUUCUUCUCGAUUGUCCUCUACGGUUUUCUUUUAAGUUUUAGUGUCAAAAAAUACAAAAACAAAAAAAGGCUAAAAGGCCACUGCAUCGUUUCAGUAGUUUUUUCUGAGUUUCGCUUGAUUCUGGGCUAAAUUCGGAAGUUAUUCCUUCUGUACUGCUACUGUUUAUGCUGCUCUGUUAAACUUGGCUUUAUACCUGGUUUUCUGACAUUUAUUUGGUCCCUUAUUUGUUGUUUCCUGCCACUAGGUAUGUACAAAUUUGCCUUUUAGCUUCCUGUUGCAAUUAUGAAUAAGUUCGGAUUAUCUGAUGUUGUUUGUGUCUGAUCUCUUUACUAUGUUUCACUGCAAUUGCUUCCGUGUAAAUUUCUGGUUUUGAUUAUUCAUUUGAACUAAAUAUGGUGAUUCAUGUUAUUUUUGACUAGUUUACACAACUACUCAAUGUCAUUGUGUAGGUUUAAUAUCACAUAUUCAUCAUUGUUUUGAUUUACAACUUUUAUAUAUUAAAAUCAUCUCAUAAUGAGUUUAUUGUUUAGUGUAUGAUGGUUUAUUCUUUGAAAAUCAGUGGUUCAUAAUCAAAAUGAUAUCUAUACUAAUAGAUUAAUCAUACGUGUUGCCUAGCCAUUUAGCUGUUAUGCAUGACAGAGCCGAUUAAUAAGAGUAGCCCAGUGGCUAUUUUUUUAUAAAUCAGAGGUCUGUCCGAAGGAACGAGAGGUGUAUGAUUCAAGAAUAGCAAUGGUCGUGCAAGAUAUUGUGAAUGGAAUCAUGGAAUGCGUUGAACUAGCUUUAGAUUGUUGAAAUUUGUAAUCUAAAUCCCAAGCCCAGUUACUGUACAUGAUUGUUAAAUUCUUGACCCCAUGCCUUCAUGAAAUAUACAUAGUUGUCGAUAAUGAAUUGUAUUUGUUUACUUGAAAAUUUUCAUUAUUAUUGACAAAAUCAGCGUAUAGAUCCAUAUGUCUUUGAGUUCAUAUACUUGGGUUUCAAUUUACGUAUGCCUCCACUAGA